AUGCAGUCAGCACAGUUCUGAAUUUCAAAAGCCCCAGUGUCAGAUGGAUUUUUGGCACUGGGAUCAAACAUGAAAAGAUAGAGGCUAAUGGGACAGUGCAGAGACCCCUCACCCACGUCACAUCACACCCUCAUUCCCCCUGACUGAAGUGCAGCGUAGACCGUGUCUGUCAGCCUGGCUCCUGCUUGCGUUUUGAAGGUCAUCAUCCGGCCACCAUCCCAGCUCACACGCCUUGCAGGUCCUGCAAUCUGUGAGGCAGCAAAAUAUUCCAUAUUAUUCAUCUCCAAGAGACGGAAGGAGUAUAAUCAAACCAAGAGAGAGAACUAGAAGUGCAUACUAAAAUUUGGAAAUAGCCAGAAGAAGCGAAAGGGAUCGUAAAAGAGUAAAUAUCGACCCAAUUUUGUGUUAUAGUGGAUGAUGUACAAGAGGACACGUCAACGUGAAGAUCCUGGUAUACGGGAGGGCAGAAUGCUUUUUAAUUGCUGUCCAUUUGAUUUUAUAUCCACAUAAUAAGCGGAACAACUCAAAAGUGGAAACAUGUGGUAUAGAGGAAACUGCACUACCUACACAAAGAAGGGUAUUAUCAGCAUACAAUGAUAUUCUCUGAUUUUCUGAUCCAGUGGUUUGAGGAAGAGAAAGAAUAGUAUUGUUAAAAGAGGUCAACUCUAGUUGCUCCCUGUACACAGAGAAUAACUAUUUCCUGUGCUGAACACUGACAAUUUGUCUAUAAGUGCUUUAUCAUAAUGAUGAAUCUUAUUCUCCAGCCAGUCUGUACUAUCUGUACCAAUAAUGUCCCAGUCUAACAAGCAGGAAUAUUCACCCUCUGCCA